GAGCAGGGGCAACUGGGCCUGGUUCCCUUUUUUCCCGCUUACUCUUUGUUUCAGACACAGCCCCCUUUCACUGGCUGGGCACUUGCUUGCAGAGGAGUUGUGUCUUAAAAUGGCGACAGGAAAUCCCACCUGCGCCUCAGCCAAUUAGACUGUCAUAGCGCGAAUUUGCAGGGUGGAAACGCGAGCUUUUUAUUGAUAGGGAAGGUUCAGUCUCCUGUUCAUGGUUCAUCAAAACAGGAAAGGGAAGGUGAAUCAUAAUUCAAAAAUUAACUACCUGGAGCGUUUCAAGUAGACAGUAGUCAUUGUAUUUGGGUGAAUUUUGCUUUUUCAUCACCACUGGAAAAGCAAGAUGAUAACCAAAUUUGAAACUCAUCACGGACUAAACUUCUUAUUCCCUUCGAAUGGCAGUAAAUGGCCUUUAUUAGUUCAACAGUGGCUUCCUGAGAAUCCUAUUUAGAAGGCAUGCUCUUGAGAAAUACUGAAAAACAGAAAGUUCAGAGCAAACCAAAAGGGCAAACACAUGGGCAGCCUAGCUCAGACAGACCUGCAUUCAAUUUCUUCCUCUGACACUUACUGCUUCCCUCAUCUGCUUUACUUUUGUCCUAAUCCUGUUUUCUAAAUUUGUGAAAAAGGGGAGAAGAGUACACACAACAUAGCAAUAUUCUAUAGGUCAUCAAAAAGUUGGUUCUUUCUACCUUACUAGAGGAAGCUAAUUUAUUGUGAAAUUAAUGAUUUUAAGUAGUGUGCACCUUGCCUGGCACAAAUAAUUCUUAUCAAUAAGGUAAGAAAUCUGAAUAGGUAAAGUAGAUGAACUGUGAGCCAUAGCUUAAUAGGCCUGUUGGAAUAUUUACCUUAUUAAAGGCAGAAUGUGUAUUCAUCGCUGUUUGGAGAUUAUCUGAACCAAGCUUGUCUUUUGGUUCCAAUUUUAACUUACUUGCUAGUUUCUGUAUAUCAAAACGACUGCAGUUAUUUAGCACUUUUUGAAUUGGAAUCAACAGUUAUGAACUGAGCUCCUAUGAUAUGGCAGCUAUUGUGCUAAGGACUUUACAUGUAAAUAUCUCAUUUAAAGCUUUCAAUCCCUCAGUUGGGUAUUAUCCUCUUUAAGAAAACAAGUACAAAGUUGAAUUGGCCAUGUUCACCUAAGACAGUAAUUAGUGAAGGGGAAGCGAUUCCCUUUCAGGUCUGAAUUCAAAAUCCGUGCUCAGUCUUCACAGUGGUGCUACAACCAUUUGCAAUCAGACAUUCUUGGGCCUAGAGUUAGAAGGAUCUUCACCCCUUCUCUGGAUUUUAGUUGACAACCUAGAACCAGAGUAAACAUCAACAUGGAGGCUGCUGUUUUCUCAAAUUGAGGCCAGGGAUGUCUAGAUGAUUCCUCUAUUCACUGUGUGCUUACUGAGAGACAAACAGCAGGUUAAACACUUCACAGAUGGUCUCUCGUUUAAUUCUCAUGACAUUCCUGAUAGGGCAGCCUAUCCUAAUCCCUGACUCAAAGGUUAGGGAAUUUAUCCCAAGUCCACACAGCCCUAAGUGGCACAUCCAAAUCUUGCAUCCAGAGCUGACUGGUAAGCCAGUUUUCUGUGGCUGGAUCUAAAACGUUCCCUGAUUCUGGAAUAACCAUCUUUGGAGGGUUAGUGGGUGGAAGGGGUCUCGGGCCACUCUGUCUCUGAAUAGGAACCACUGCCCUAUUUCAGUAGAGUCCAGGGAGUUAGUUUUCUCAGUAAUAGGGUUGUGAGGUCCAAGAGACUUGUCGAUAGUAUCUAAUGUUAUUUGUGGACCUUUCCCAUUUGAACAGAUUUCCAAUGUUAUUAAGGUAUUCAGGACACAUUACCAGGUUUGACUGCAGACUGCCCUAUGGAACUGAGAAAAUUCUGUAUCUGCUCUGAAAGUGAUGCCAGGGAAGGAAUUUGUACUAUGAAAAUAGAAUUGGGUAGCUUUAGGUCACCUGAGAGUUUUCUUGUAGCCCCCAUAGCUUGUUUUUGUAUGGUUCCAGGAAGGUGGGGCAGCUUUGUGAAGAAAAAUCAAUUAUACCCCAAAGAGGAUUCAGCCUGAGCUUAAGCCACAUCUGCUCUCAUCCCAGCUUCACCCUGUACUCACCCGGGUUGCACUUGCUCCCUACCUGGGUUGCCCAGUAGGACAGCUGCAGAAGGGGCCACUACCAGCUGUGCGCUUACAGAGAAUAUGUGUUUUCCUGCACUGGUGUUCAAAGCUUUCCAAAUACAUCUGGUUUGAUACCAGCAGUCUUCUUGUAUAAGAAUUUUUGGGUAAUAAGAUCAAAACUAUUUUCUGAAUACAGUGUUUUUUAAAAAUCUGUGAAGGACUAUCAGUGGAAAAUCUGAUUUUUAACGAUGAUGAAAAAGUAGGAAAGUCAGCUGGUGAGAUUAUCUCAGAACAAGUGUCCUGCAUAUCUCCUACUUGUAACAGAAAACACUGCAGCUGUUAGAUGAACAAAUCCAAUCUCACUAGAAAAUAAAUUGUUUAUUCUGCAGUCUUUUGUUCCUAUUUAUAGGGUCUACCCUAAACAACAAAUGGUCUUUAAGAUUACUGGUUUUCCUUGACUUUCACAUUUCUUUGCCUGAUUAACCCUUUUUAUCAUCCUUGAUGUUCUUUGAAUCUCAUCCAUAGAUGACAAUAUUUUGACACUAGAAAUUAGUAAAGCAGCCAUAGGAAAAAGCGCAUUUGCAAUUAAAAGAGCUCCCAAAUUGUGUUGGUCAGCCUUCUGCAGAUACAUGGCACUGUGUGCCCUAACAUUCCUUGGUGGGUAGCACUGUGUCAGGGGCAGUUGUUGCCUCUUCCACCAUUGAAAUGAACAUUCUACCUCACCAGAUUGAAAAUUGGUUCUUGCAAGAGGUCAAAUACCCCCACUGAUUCUAAACUGAAGUUAAAUUAAAAUCCCAGAACAAAACUAUCUUUUAUUAUCUUAUUAGUUAAUUAAUUUUAGAGACAAGGUCUCAUUCUGUUGCCCAGGUUGGAGUGCAGUGGUUCAAUCAUAAUAGCUCGCUGCAGCCUCAAAUGGAAUCAGGGAUCUUCCCGCCUCAGCUUUCUGAGUAGCUGGGACUACAGGUGCGUGCCACUAUGCCUGGUUAUUCUUUAUUAUUAUUAUUGUAGAAACAGAUUCUCAUUUUGUUGUCUAGUCUGGUCUCAACCUCUUGGCCUCAAGCCACGCUCCUGCCUCGGCCUCCCAAAAAUACUAGGAUUACAGGCCUGAACCACCAUACCUGACCCGAGAUGCUUUAAAAAUGUCUGCUGUCUCUGAUUUUGGCCUGAGUCAUAUUUGUAAGGUCACUUAUUUAUUUUUUAUCUGUUAGGGGAGCUGGGAGUGGAGUUUAUUAGGAAUUGCAACUGUAUGGCAAUACUGUGACAUUUGUUCAAGUUAACUAAAGACCCAGGACCAAAUAAUCAGUCCUGGAAGUUUAAUGUCUAACUUGUCUGAUAUGCAACAUUCUGCAGGUCAACUGUGAGUGCAACUCCCUAGCUUGUUGCAAAAUGGGGGAAAUGAUAUGGACAUAGUUUGGACGUGUGUCCCCACACAAAUCUCAUAUCGAAAUGUAACUCCUAAUGUUGGAGUAGGGCCUGGUGGGAGGUGACUGGAUCAUGGGGGCAGAUUUCUGAUGUAUGGGUUAGCACCAUCCCCUUGUGUGCUUUCCUCAUGAUAGUGAGUGAGUUCUCUGGAGAUCUGGUUGUUCUCACUCUCUGGCUCCUGCUUUCACCAUGUGAAGUGCCUGCUCCUGCUUUGGCUUCUGCUACGAGUAAAAGCUCCCUGAGGCCUCCCCAGAAGCAGAUGCUCCCAUGUUUCCUGUACAGCCUGCCGAUCUGUGAGUCAAUUAAACCUCUUUUCUUUACAAAUCACCCAGUCUCAGGUGUUUCUGAGACUGGGUGAUUUAUAAAGCAAUGCAAGAAUGGACUAAUACAGAUAUCCAUCUGGUGAUCAGAUGACUCAAUGCCUACAGAAUACCUAAGCACAAUGCUUGGUAUAUAAUAAGUGUCCAAUAAAUGGUACCUGUUAUUAUUUUGCACACUUUGCAGAAAUAAAAAUGGGGCAAUUAAGUUUCAAAGUCCAAGUUUAUAGGCACAAAAUAUUCUAUUAUGUUCACUUCAUGCUGAAACAGCUGUUAAGCCCACACCUCCACUCCCAUUUCUCCUACAGUGGGAAUGAGGAGAGAGAAGGUAUUAAAGAAGAGUUAGGCCUCCAAUUCAACUCUCAAUCUUAACUUUAAGGUGGGAAAGAUAAGUUUUGAACCUAUAAGAAUGUGUUAAUUAAGAAGUAGAAGUGGGCCGGGCGCGGUGGCUCAUCCCCGUAAUCCCAGCACUUUGGGAGGCUGAGGCGGGCGGAUCACCCGAAGUCUGGAGUUUGAGACCAGCCUGACCAACAUGGAGAAACCCUGUCUCUACUAAAAAAAUACAAAAUUAGCUGGAUGUAGUGGUGCAUGCCUGUAAUCCCAGCUACUCAGGAGGCUGAGGCAGGAGAAUUGAUUGAGCCCAGGAGGCAGAGGUUGCGAUGAGCCAAGAUCACGCCAUUGCACUCCAGCCUGGGCAACAAAAGUGAAACUCCAUCCCAAAAAAAAAAAAAACAGUGGAAGUGUUCCAAAAUGGAGAAUAGCAUUUGUAUUUACUAAUGGUGGCAAUAUAAAUUGGUACCACUUUUUGUGAGGUAGCAAAUUUAGGGGUUAAGAAUGUGGGCUCUGGGGCCAAAUUUGCUGAGUUCUAAUCUUGGCUCUUACAGCCUGUUAGCUUUGUGACAUUGGGCAAGUUACUUAACUUCUCUGUGCUUCAGUUUCUUCAUAUUUAAAAUGGAAAUAGACAAUAAUACCUACUUCAUAAGGCUUUGUGAAAUAUAUAUGUUAAUACAUGUAAAGCAUUAAAAAUAAUUAACAAUAUAUCUUAAGUAUUCAGUCAUUAAUAAUUAUUAUUACUGGAAAUCAGUUUGGCAAUAAGUAGGAAGAACUUAGAUACCAUUGGUGUCACUUCUGGGACUCUAUACCCUAAAAAUUAUGCACAAAGUAGUUUCCUAAUAACACAGGAUCUACAAGCACAGGCUUUGGAAUGAGUCAAGUAAAGGUAAACAGCAUGUUUAAAAUGUUUCUCCAAAGCAAGUAUAACAUAAAUCCAUAAAUUUACAGUCCAAAUUAAAUAUGCAUUUGAGUAGACUUGAGGGCAGCUGUAACACUUCCAUAAGCCCUUAGAGAUACUUUGAGAAAUAGGAUACAGGGCUGACUGUUCCUUAGUUCUGAUCCUGUGUGAUAAUCCUUACUUUCUCAUUUAUAAGUGGACAUCCAAAGGUGAUACAGCUGGAAAAAGGAUCUUCAUCCAAGACAAAGAGAAACAAAGUCGAUAGGAAAGUGAUGAAAGGCAUCAAGCAAAGUGAAGAUGCAAAUGAGAAAACAAGAUCAGAAGACAGGAAUAUCUGAAACAAGUCACAAAUGCAUAGUAUGACCUCUCAGAAUCGUCUGGAUAAGUGUCAGCAUUCUCCAAGUCACUUUCUUGGUAUGAAAUGAACAUUUGUGGCCAGGUGCAGUGGCUCACACCUGUAAUCCCACCACUUCAGGAGGCCGAGGUGGGCGGAUCAUGAGGUCAAGAGAUCGAGACCAUCCUGGCCAACAUGGUGAAACCCCGUCUCUGCUAAAAAUGCAAAAAUUAGCCAGGCGUGGUGACAUGUGCCUGUAAUCCCAGCUACUUGGGAGGCUGAGGCAGGAGAAUCGCUUGAGCCUGGGAGGCAGAGGUUGCAGUGUGCCGAGAUCGCACCACUGCACUGCAGCCUGGUGACAGAACGGGACUCCGUCUCAAAAAAAAAAAAAAAAAAAAAAAAGAAAUGAACAUUUGUAAAUGGAG
rnacentral:lncRNA from 10 species